AGCCCGCCGCGUGAGUGAAGAAGGCCUUCGGGUUGUAAAACUCUUUUGUUGGAGAGGAAUGGUCUGCAGAUUAACUGUUGGCGGCGUGACGGUAUCCAACCAAAAAGCCACGGCUAACUACGUGCCAGCAGCCGCGGUAAUACGUAGGUGGCAAGCGUUAUCCGGAUUUAUUGGGCGUAAAGCGAGCGCAGGCGGUUUUUUAAGUCUGAUGUGAAAGCCCUCGGCUUAACCGAGGAACUGCAUCGGAAACUGGGAAACUUGAGUGCAGAAGAGGACGGUGGAACUCCAUGUGUAGCGGUGAAAUGCGUAGAUAUAUGGAAGAACACCAGUGGCGAAGGCGGCUGUCUGGUCUGUAACUGACGCUCAGGCUCGAAAGCAUGGGUAGCGAACAGGAUAGAU
rnacentral:rRNA from 2 species